AGCGUUAUUCGGAAUUACUGGGCGGAAAGCGCACGUAGGCGGCUUUGUAAGUUCUAGGGGAAAGCCUGGAGCUCAACUCCAGAAUUGCCUUUAAGACUGCAUCGCUUGAAUCCAGGAGAGGUGAGUGGAAUUCCGAGUGUAGAGGUGAAAUUCGUAGAUAUUCGGAAGAACACCAGUGGCGAAGGCGGCUCACUGGACUGGUAUUGACGCUGAGGUGCGAAAGCGUGGGGAGCAAACAGG
rnacentral:rRNA from 1 species